rnacentral:rRNA from 1 species
UUCUGAAGCUAGUCUAAAUCAAAGAGGAGGAGUUUGUAUCUUUCAACUUUACACACAGUGGAGUAAUCUUACUUUAUUGUUCUUAUUUUCUUUGGGACAGCUCUUUUUGGGCGUCCCGGGAGAAGCAAACACAAACAAUUAUUUUAUAUUCUACUUUGUCAAAACCAAAUUCUCUGUUGAGAAAUAACUUCAAAACUUUCAACAAUGGAUCUCUUGGUUCUCGCAUCGAUGAAGAACGCAGCGAAAUGCGAUACGUAAUGUGAAUUGCAGAAUUCCGUGAAUCAUCGAAUCUUUGAACGCACAUUGCGCCCUCUGGUAUUCCGGGGGGCAUGCCUGUUUGAGCGUCAUUUCCUUCUCAAACGUCUCGUUUGGUGGUGAGUGAUACUCUGCUGGAGUUAGCUUGAAAUUGUUGGCCAUUUUAUGCGGACGUGCAUGGUGGGUUGUUUUUUUUUCAUUGGAAGUUUUGCAAUGAGAAAGUCGUAUUAGGUUUUACCAACUUCGACGGUCUCUGUUGCAGGGCAUUUUAAAUUCUGGUGGAAGGGCUCUGCUGUGAAGUCAUGCUGGCAAACAGGAACCUUUAAGUUUGACCUCAAAUCAGGUAGGAUUACCCGCUGAACUUAAGCAUA